rnacentral:ncRNA from 1 species
CCCCGAAAAUGGCAAGUUAUUCCGAAAGGGUAAUACGCAAAUCCGAGAUCCUGAAGCCACUCUUUCCAGGGGUAUGGACGUCUCUGAUGCCGAA